CUCCAUUGCAGAAAAAUAAUUGAGGAGGUUGGUCCAUGGCCACUCUCUGUUUCAUUUCCCCCAUCUCACUUAGGCUCAGGUUUUUCCUUUGUGCCUACUUUCUUUCUUUAUGCCUUUUCUUUUCAUUCAACAGAGGCUAUGCCUCAUUCGAAGGAAGGAAACUUGCAGAGAGCCAGCUUCCUCACCAUAGCCAUACAAUUCAAGUCAGCUCUCUACUCCCAUCUGAUUCUUGCAAACCUUCCACUACAAAAGUGGUGGAGAAGAAGGCAUUAUUGGAAGUAGUCCACAGGCAUGGUCCAUGCUCGCAACUAAAAGCUGGAAAAGCUCCAAGUCACACGGAGAUCCUCCUCCAAGAUGAAUCCAGA
rnacentral:misc_RNA from 1 species